rnacentral:lncRNA from 1 species
GUGGGCAAGGUCAUCCCUGAGCUGAAUGGGAACCUCCCUGGCAUGGCCUUUUGUGUCCCCACUGCCAACGUGUCAGUUGUGGGCCUGAACUGCCAUCUGGAAAAACCUGCCAAAUAGGAUGACAUCAGGAAGGUGGUGAAGCAGGCUUCAGAGGGCUCUUCAAGGGCAUCCCGGGCUACACCGAGCACCAGGUCAUCUCCUCCAACUUCAACAGUGACACCCACUCUUUCACCUUCGAUGCUGGAGCUGGCAUUGCCCUCGACGACCACUUUGUCAAGCACAUUUCCUGAUAUGACAGUGAGUUUGGCUACAGCAACAGGGUGGCGGAGCCCACAUGGCCUCCAAGGAG